rnacentral:rRNA from 1 species
GUGAGGAAUAUUGGUCAAUGGACGAGAGUCUGAACCAGCCAAGUAGCGUGAAGGAUGACUGCCCUAUGGGUUGUAAACUUCUUUUAUAAGGGAAUAAAGUGAGGGACGUGUCCCUUUUUGUAUGUACCUUAUGAAUAAGGAUCGGCUAACUCCGUGCCAGCAGCCGCGGUAAUACGGAGGAUCCGAGCGUUAUCCGGAUUUAUUGGGUUUAAAGGGAGCGUAGGUUGACAUAUAAGUCAGCUGUGAAAGUUUACGGCUCAACCGUGAAAUUGCAGUUGAUACUGUAUGUCUUGAGUGUACAAGAGGUGGGCGGAAUUCGUGGUGUAGCGGUGAAAUGCUUAGAUAUCACGAAGAACUCCAAUUGCGAAGGCAGCUCACUGGGGUACAACUGACACUGAGGCUCGAAAGUGUGGGUAUCAAACAGGAUUAGAAACCCCAGUAGUCC